UGGGGGAUCGUCUAGCGGUAGGACAGCGGACUCUGACUCCGCUAACCGUGGUUCGAAUCCACGUCCCCCAGCCA
rnacentral:tRNA from 17 species